ACUCAAAUGAAUAGACGGGGACCCGCACAAGCGGUGGAUGAUGUGGAUUAAUUCGAUGCAACGCGAAAAACCUUACCUACCCUUGACAUGGAUAGAAGCCUGGAGAGAUUUAGGCGUGCUCGCAAGAGAGCUAUCACACAGGUGCUGCAUGGCUGUCGUCAGCUCGUGUCGUGAGAUGUUGGGUUAAGUCCCGCAACGAGCGCAACCCUUGUUGGUAAUUGCCAUCAUUUAGUUGGGCACUUUACUGAGACUGCCGGUGACAAACCGGAGGAAGGUGGGGAUGACGUCAAGUCCUCAUGGCCCUUAUGGGUAGGGCUUCACACGUCAUACAAUGGUGCAUACAGAGGGUAGCGAAGCUGCGAAGUGGAGCCAAUCUCAGAAAGUGCAUCGUAGUCCGGAUUGGAGUCUGCAACUCGACUCCAUGAAGUUGGAAUCGCUAGUAAUCGCGGAUCAGCAUGUCGCGGUGAAUACGUUCCCGGGUCUUGCACACACCGCCCGU
rnacentral:rRNA from 1 species